UGAGUCUUAUCUUCUUGAAAAGAUGACUAAGUCACCUUUUACUAGAAAAGGUGAAUGAGCUAGUGAAGUUCUAGGUCUAAUACUGAUCGCUGUCAUAGGUGGUCAAAAUAAAAACCAACUCAAACUAUAUAGAUAGGGUGAGUAGGAAUCAUUUCCAUGGGGAUUUAGGGCGAUUACCUCUUUUUUUUAAGAAGAAAUAAAAGAGAAUUGAUUGC
rnacentral:lncRNA from 1 species